GCCGCGGGCGGUGACCACUCAAGGAACUCGGAGGAGAAAGGACCGCACCAAGCCCACCCCCCUCCCACCGUCGGUCAGCGGCGGGGAGCCGCUCACUCACGCGGGUGAACAUCACCGGCUCGGCUGGAUUUCGGGGCCCCCAACUGUCCUACUCUCAGCGCAAAAGCCCCCGACAUAUGUCGGCCCACGGCCGCGACCUGGGAUCCCGAACGAGGGCCUGACCGGC
rnacentral:ncRNA from 1 species